AGAUACAUUCAGGCCUUUACAUUAUUAAUAAUGUGAAGAGAAAGGAUAUCCAAAGUGAAAGUGGGUAUCAUGACAAUUGUAGAAUAGCGAUAUUUAACAAGUAAUCGAUGAGAAUAUCUGA
rnacentral:rRNA from 1 species